CCUACGGGAGGCAGCAGUGGGGAAUAUUGGGCAAUGGAGGCAACUCUGACCCAGCAACGCCGCGUGAAUGAUGAAGGUCUUCGGAUUGUAAAGUGCUGUGAUGGGGGAUGAACACAAGGACGGUACCCCAAGAGCAAGCCACGGCUAACUACGGGCCAGCAGCCGCGGUAAUACGUCGGUGGCAAGCGUUAUCCGGAAUGACUGGGCGUAAAAGGAGCGGAGACGGUAAUGCAAGUCUGGAGGGAAAGGCGUGGGCCCAACCCCCGGACUGCUCUGGAAACUGUGUAACUGGCGUGCAGGAGUGGCAGGCGGAAUUCCUAGUGUAGCGGUGAAAUGCGUCGUUAUUAGG
rnacentral:rRNA from 1 species